rnacentral:rRNA from 1 species
GCUUAACACAUGCAAGUCGAACGAAAAGAGGGAAAGAGCUUGCUCUUUUCAGAAUUGAGUGGCAAACGGGUGAGUAACACGUAAACAACCUGCCUUCAGGAUGGGGACAACAGACGGAAACGACUGCUAAUACCGAAUAAGUUCCAAGAGCCGCAUGGCCCAUGGAAGAAAAGGUGGCCUCUACCUGUAAGCUAUCGCCUGAAGAGGGGUUUGCGUCUGAUUAGCUGGUUGGAGGGGUAACGGCCCACCAAGGCGACGAUCAGUAGCCGGUCUGAGAGGAUGAACGGCCACACUGGAACUGAGACACGGUCCAGACUCCUACGGGAGGCAGCAGUGGGGAAUCUUCCGCAAUGGGCGAAAGCCUGACGGAGCAACGCCGCGUGAGUGAUGACGGCCUUCGGGUUGUAAAACUCUGUGAUCCGGGACGAAAAGGCAGAGUGCGAAGAACAAACUGCAUUGACGGUACCGGAAAAGCAAGCCACGGCUAACUACGUGCCAGCAGCCGCGGUAAUACGUAGGUGGCAAGCGUUGUCCGGAAUUAUUGGGCGUAAAGCGCGCGCAGGCGGCUUCCCAAGUCCCUCUUAAAAGUGCGGGGCUUAACCCCGUGAUGGGAAGGAAACUGGGAAGCUGGAGUAUCGGAGAGGAAAGUGGAAUUCCUAGUGUAGCGGUGAAAUGCGUAGAGAUUAGGAAGAACACCGGUGGCGAAGGCGAC